CUCAACACACUUGUAAUGGCCACUCGAGGAAGACAACCAGAAAACCCCCAGUUACUGGGUCCUAGUCCUGGGUCCCUGAAUCUGAUGCCAGCACCUGGAACAACGCGUCCUUCACUGAUGGAGUGAACUUUGCUAGUACUGAUAAAAGCAUUUAGUAGAGUUGACAAGCACGUCCACAUCUAAAGCUGUGUUCAAUGAGACUUUCAGAAGAGAAAACUAACCUUGGGCUAAAGACAUCAUUUCACUGUAAACGGCUCCUGGAAUGACAGGAUUUGGCAAGUCCAGAAGAUAGCGUUUGAAAGCAUCUGCUAAAACGUGCACAUCGAUCAUUUCCCAGUCCACGGAGGUGACAUCUGUAAAAGCAAAUAAAAACAAAUUUUUUUUUCAGACAUUUUAUUGGGUCCGUUUAUUUCCUGAAUGUUUUAUAUAAUGUGAUACAGGAAAGGAAAAAACACUGUCUGGAGGGUGGUUCUGCUCUGUUUUAGAAGGGUUCUGUGAAGGGGGUGGGUUAACAAGAUAGUCAAUGUUGCCUAAAACCUCAACAGGAAAAUGACAAAUGCAAAUUCCUAGAUUUCUGAAACCUUCAGUUGAUAAAUAUUGCCUCUCAAAAUUAAUGCAAAUUUUACCCAACAGAAUGACUAAUUAAGCAUUAAGCUAUUACAGAAUUUUUGCAAUCAAUUUCAAGAAUAAAUAUCUGUAAAAAUAAUUUUAACAUUUUCAGAAUUUCCCCCAUCAAUUUUGACUGGGUCAUUAGUAAUCUAACUGAAUUAUCUCAGAAGAAAGAUAUGAGCAUGCCUGCCCAGUAAACUCCUCAGCUGCAAAAAGGCCAAGCAAUUCAAUAAUGGGUGACGCUACCCAAAAACAGCCUCUGAGCACUCUCCAGCGGUAAGGCGCUUUGAGUACUUGGGACAGAAAAAGGCACAGGGCCAGACAGAAAGAAGGGAUUGGGAACAAAGAUCUGGAGACAGGAAUGACCACGGGCAUCUAAGACACCAGGAGAGGGAGACGCUGGUGCAGAAGGGUGUACACUAGGAAUGAGAAAGAUAAUCUGAAGAAAAUUAUCAGAGGACUCAAGUGUACUCAACAGAAAAAAGGUAGGCUGAUGGACAAAACACAACAUUUUAAACAGCCUUGCUAAGUUGAAAAUGAGUUGUUAUGGAUUGAACUAUGUCCCCCCAAAAUAUGUGUGGUAAAUCCUAAUCUCAAUACCUGUGGUUGGAGCCCUGGUGGCUUAGUGGUUAAGAGUUUGGCUGCUAACCAUAAGGUCGGCAGUUGGAAUCCACCGGCCACUCCUUGGAAACGGUAUGGGACAGGUCUAUUCUGUUCUAUAGGGUCACUGUAAGUCAGAAUGGACUUGAAGGCAAUGGUUUUACACCUAUGGUUAUAAUCUCACUUGGGAAAGGGUUUUCUGUGUUAUAUUAACAAUGAGGCAGUAUUAGUGUAGGGUGGGCCUUAAAUCAAUCUCUUUUGAGAUUUAAAAAGAGGAGAUCGAGCAAGCAAGUACAGUUAGGGGAAGACAGAUACCAUGCCACAUGAGGAUCACCAUGAUCGCUAAGGAAGAGAGGCUGAAAAGAGAUAAGGACCUUCCCUCAGAGCCAAAAGAGAGAAAGAAAGACUUUUCCUAGGGCCAGCACCCUGAAUUCAGACUUCUAGCCUCCUCAACUGCGAGGAAAUAAAUUUUAGUUUGUUACAGCCACGCACUUGUGAUUUCUGUUAGCAGCACUAGAUAACUAAGACAGGAGUGAUGCCGAAAGUUGAAAUACCAGUUUUAAUCAUCUGAAGCCUCUGACUUCUAAUGAAGUAAGAAAGGUUCAAGGCAUUAUCAAGAGUGGGGAUUGACUGGAUUGGCUAGAGGUCAAGGAGAGAAUGAGGAAGAAUCAAAGCUUACUCCAAGGUGUCUGAGCACGAGUAAAUGGAAGACAUGGCAACGAUUAGGAGAACGGUAGAGGACUGGGCAGUGUUCUGUUUUGUUGCACACAGGGUCGCUAUGAGUCGGAACCAACUAAGUGACACCUAGCAACAACACAACACGUAGAAGAAAGUGGUAUCCUGGAUACCCACAAGUUGAACGUGAUAUUAUAAAUCACUCCAGGUUGAGAUGGAGCUACAAAAAUUCCCUAGACAUAUCAUUAUUAUAAACCAAACUUGCCUGCCUCACUAACUAGGCAGAUUUUAUAAAAGCUAAUCACUUACACAACCCCACCAAGCUCUGAGAAAAUUCAGUUUGACAUAAAAUGUGGGUAGAUCAUUUUGAGGAAAAGAAUUGUUAAAGGUAAACAGGCAAAAGGUUAAACCACUUAAAUGUCCUACAAAGAACUAACCAGGGACACAUCACAUUUGCAACAAGUUUGAAAAGGGCGCGGAAUGGCUGGUGGGUUUGAAUCAGCCGACCUUUUGGUUAGCAGCCAAGUGCUUUGACCACUGCACCACCAGGACCCACUGGUCUCUUAUAUACUUCAUUUAAUACAUCUGUAUGCCCAACAAAUAAAUAUUACUUAAUUAAUAAACAAAACAAAAGCAAAAAACACUUGCCAUCAAGUUGGUUUCAACUCAUGGCGACCCCAUGUGUUUCAGAGUAGAACUGUGCUCCACAGGGUUUUCAACAGCUGUAAGCUUUUGCAAGAUUGCCAGGCCUUUCUUUCAAGGUGCCUCUGGGUAGAUUUGAAUAAUCAACUUUUCAGUUAAUAGCCAAGAGCUUAACAGUUUGCACUACCCAGGGACUCCCGGUUUAUAAAUGUUAAGAUACUAUAAAUUCCACAUGUUCCUUCCUCAGGCAGAGUUCCCGCUGCCUUCUCCGUGUUCUUGGACUGCUGAGCUACAAUUCUACCAGGCCACUUCCCAGCAGUAUGAUAAUUAGGCAGGAUCAGCACCUCCUACUAGACUAAGGCUACCUUGGGGCAAGGUCUGUGGCUCUCCCCUGCUCUUCUUGUAUCCCUCAAUGCACUGCACAUAAAACAUGCUUGUUUAAUGUUUGCAGCAUGAACUAUAAAACCUCUAGAAAAAAAAAAAACCCAGUACCUCUAGAGA